rnacentral:rRNA from 1 species
UGGGGAAUAUUGCGCAAUGGGCGAAAGCCUGACGCAGCGACGCCGCGUGGGGGAUGAAGGCUUCGGGUUGUAAACCUCUUUCAGCAGGGACGAAGCGAGAGUGACGGUACC